CUCGAACUGUCUAGAGUGCGGUCUUUUAUCGCAACUGCGAGCUGAGUAACGCCCAGUGUUUUGACAGCAGCUCGAGACUUGGAGGGGGGCUUAAUUGCCUAUAUGCUCAGGCCAACACCAGCAACCUUAGCUCGAACUCAUCGCUGUCUGAGCUACCACACUGGGAAUUUAUUUUGAGGUGCAAACUCAAGUGCUCAAAUGAGACUGAUGAGUCAUUUAGAAUAAAUACUUGAUAUCCGGUGUCCGACUCAUCCUUGGGGGAGUAUUCUUGGUGCCUCAUCAUCCAAUACUGGAGGAUGGACCUACCACCCCACCACCAGGGGCGGCCUAGAAAUCCAUGUCCAGUCACAGAAUGUUUUGCAGCGAUCAAGACUUCUGAAUCCGAGUGCAGAGAGCCUAACAAGCCAGCGCCUGAGCCCAGGAUUUGCAGGAUAAUCCAGAGCACCGAUAUUGGGGACAAGCCCAUAAGACCACCACACGGCGAAGGCGACCUGGAACAUACCAUUGUGGGGAGAGUCACUAAGAUUACUGAGGCCACGUCCAGAGUGCUGUAUUAGAAGGACCAGAAAAUCAUGAAAGAUUGUUGCUGGAUUUAGAAGUACUUAAGGAAACGUAGGAAGACUGCUUAUUUGUUACCUCAUGGAGGAAUGACACAGAAGGAGUUGUAACUCAUGCACUUCAAAGCGUCCAAUGAUGGUCGCCGCCGAG